AGAAGCGGCGACGGAAGGCAGAAAGAGAGAGAGAUAGCCUUCGGGAGUCAUUUGGCCGUGUGUUUUACAGUGACCAAAUCAAUGUACUAGAAAAGGGAACCAUGCGAGGGAAGUCUUGGUCUCCAGUAAUGCUUCAAAAGGCGCUCCACGUAAAAGUUACCUGUCGCAGCAACGGAUACGAGUUCGUCGGGGAAAACGUUGCUCCUUUACCAGCAACAAAAACGCUGCAGAGACACAUUGAGCACGUAAAGUUCAAACCUGGUAUCCUGCAUGAAGUUUUUGCUGCCCUGAAAAAGAAGGUGGCUUCAAUGGCUCCAGAGGAGAAAUAUGCGUGUCUCUUAAUGGACGAAGUACAGAUUUCGCCUGGACUGGAUUACGACGCGUCGACAGGGAGCAUCAUAGGGCAGCCAACAUUGAGCCCUUCGAACCCAGGCACAAAGGACCAACUUGCAAACGAUGCACUUGUUUUCAUGCUAGCUGGGCUAACAAGCAGGUGGAAACAAGCCGUUGCUUAUCAGCUCACAUAACACAUAAAGAAGGCCUGUGAACUUGAAGCCAAGCACCAGCUGAAGCUCAUGCCUUACUUGAAGCUACGUGACUUGGACCCUACACAUUUGAAAAGAUGAACGUUGCUUCAGCGUACGCCCUUCUUCACCAUGCCACAGCAGCCGGCCUUCGGUACCUUGUUCACAAAAAUCAUCUCCCAAGAGAAGCUCUCACCACAGCAUUUUUCCUUGAACAAGUUUUCAGAUGGUUUAUCAUCUUGACGUCACGAACAAUGAAGACUGCGCUGAGCGAGCUUUGCCCUCAGAAAGGAGAUGAAGCGAAGUGCUUUCUUCGUGAUUUCAUAGCUAUGGUAACGGAGCUAGUGAUUGCGGACAAAACUGGCAAAAGUGCUUGGAAAACUUUCCAAACGGGUGC
rnacentral:lncRNA from 1 species